UACAGAGGUGGCAAGCGUUGUUCGGAUUCAUUGGGCGUAAAGGGUCCGUAGGCGGUUUGGAAAGUCGGAUGUGAAAUCCUACAGCUUAACUGUAGAACUGCAUUCGAAACUUCUGAACUAGAGUGUGAGAGGGGUAAAGGGAAUUCCUGGUGUAAGGGUGAAAUCUGCAGAGAUCAGGAAGAACACCUGUCGCGAAGGCGCUUUACUGGCUCAUUACUGACGCUGAGGGACGAAAGCUAGGGGAGCAAACGGG
rnacentral:rRNA from 1 species